GCCAGGCGCGGUGGCUCAUGCCUGUAAUCCCAGUGGCUUGGGAGGCUGAGGCAGAAGGAUUGCCAGUUCAAAGCCAGCCUCAGCAAAAUUGAGGCGUUAAACAACACAGUGAUAUCUUGUCUCUA
rnacentral:sRNA from 1 species